rnacentral:lncRNA from 1 species
CUCCAUAGUGAGUGUGUUCUCAUGAGAUAUGACAGUUUAAAAGUGUGUGGCAGUUCCCCCAUCUUGCUCUCUCUCCCGUCACCAGUUAUACACAAGAUGAAUGGAUUAACCACUGGAAGACCUGCACUACUACAAAUGUUAAAGAAAGUCCUUCCAAGAAAGAAAAAAGGCAACUUAAUGGAAACUUGUGUCUACCAAAUGGAAAGAAGAGCAAUGGGAAUCCUAACUACGGUACACUGAAGAACACUUUUGCAGCUGACUAACAACUCUUGAUAUUGAGAAAGUUAUCAGAAUUAUUUGCAAAUCUCCUCUCAGAUUUGCAAAGGAUGCUGGCAUUUCUCCAUGAGGCAGGAGUGUGAGAAAAAAAGUUGAAUGUGGUGAUGGGGAAAACACUGAAGUUCAAAAGAAGCGAAGACAAGAAGCUACUCAUGGCAGCAGCUUUUCCCAUAAAUCAAGAAAUGCUACAGAUUAUAAAUGAGAUGAGACUAUCAAGAAGAGACCUAAUAGGAGUGUGAAGACCAAAAAUUUAAAAGACGUGGUUAUAUACUUUGAGUAAACUCUAUAUAUAGGACAAUGUUAUUGUUUGGUUCUGUGUUCCUCACUCAAAUCUCACCUCAAAUUAUAAUCCCCAUGUGUCAAGGGCAGGACCAGGUGGAAGUAACUGGAUCAUGGGGGAAGUUUUCCUCAUGCUUUUCUCAUAGUAAGUGAGUUCUCAUAAGAUCUGAUUUUUUUAUAAGCAUAUGGCAUUUCCCCUCCUAGCAUUUUGCCUCCUGCUGCCUUGCAAAGACGGCAGUUGCUUCCCCUUUGCCUUCCGCCAUGACUGUAAGUUCCCUGAGUCCUCUCCAGCCAUGUGGAACUGUGGGUUAAUUAAAUCUCUUUCCUUAUAAAUUACCCAGUCUUGGGCAGUUCUUUAUAGCAGUGUGAAACUGGACUAAAAUAGAAAAUUGGUACCAGGAGAGUGAGGCACUGCUGUAAAGACAUCACUAUAAAGGCACCUGAAAAUGGAAGCAACUUUGGAACUAGCUAAUGGGCAGAGGUUGGAACCAUUUGCAGGGUUCAGAAGAAGACAUGAAGAUGUGGGAAAGUUUGGAAAUUCCUGGAGACUUGUUGAAUGCUUUGACGAAAAUGCUGAUACUGAUAUGGACAAUAAAUUUCAGGCUGAGAUGCUCUCAGAUACAAAUAAAGAACUUGUUGGGAACUGGAAUAAAGGUGACUAUUUGCUAUAUAUGCUUUAGCAAAGAGACUGGUGGCAUUUUGCCUCUGUCCUAGAGAUCUGUGGAGCUUUGAACAUGAGAAAGAUGAUUUAGAAUAUCUGGUGGAAGAAAUUUAUAUGCAGCAAAGUGUUCAAGAAGUGACUCGGGUGCUCUUAAAACCAUUCAGUUGUAUGCAUUCACAAAGAUAUGGUUUGGAAUUGGAACUUAUGUUUAAAAGGGAAGCAGAGAAUAAGAGUUCAGAAAAUUUGCAGCCUGAUGAUGCAAUAGAAAAGAAAAAUCUCAUUUUCUGGGGAGAAAUUCAAGCCUGCUGCAGAAAUUUGCGUAAGUAACAAGGAGACAAAUGUUAGUCACCAAGACAAUGGAGAAUAUGGCCUCAGUCAAUGUCGGAUGUCUUCACUGCAAGCCCUCCAAUCACAGGCCUGAAGGAUUGGAGAGAAAAAAUAAUUUUGUGGGCAAGGCCCAGGGACUUGCUGCUUUGUGCAGUCUCUGAACUUGGUGCCCUGCAUCCCAGCUGUGUCUAAUAGUGGCCAACAUACAGCUCAGGCCAUUGCUUUAGAGGGUGAAAGCCCCAAGCCAUGGUGUCUUACAUGUGGUUUUGGGCCUGCAGAUGCACAGAUGUCAAGAAUUGAGGUUUGAGAACCUCCACCUAGAUUUCAGAGGAUGUAUGGAAACUCUUGGAUGUCCAGGCAGAAGAGUACUACAGGGGCAGAGCUCUCCAUGGAGAACAUCUGCUAGGGCAGUGCAGAGUCCCCACUGGGGCGCUGACUAGUGGAGCUGUGAGAAGAAGGCCACCAACCUCCAGACCCCAGAAUGGUAGAUCCACCAACAUCUUGCAUCGUACACCUAGAAAAGUCACAGACGCUCAACAACACCUCAUGAAAGUAGCCAGGAGAGGCGCUGUAUCCUGCAAAGCCACAGAGGCAGAGCUGCCCAAGGCUGUGGUAUCCCACCUCCUACAUCAGUGUGAUUGGAUGUGAGACAUGUAGUCAAAUGAGGUCAUUUUGGAACUUUUAAGACUUAAUGACUGCUUUAUUGUAUUUUGGACUUGCAUGAGGCUUGUAGCCCCUUUGUUUUAGCCAGUUUAUCUCAUUUGGAAUGGGACUAUUUAUCCAAAGCCUGUACCCCAUUGUAUCUAGGAAGUAACUGACUUGCUUUGGAUUUUACAAGCUCAUAGGCAGAAGGGACUUCCCUUGUCUCAGAUGAGACUUUGGACUGUGGCCUUUUGAGUUAAUGUUAAAAUGAGUUAAGACUUUGAGGAACUGUUGGGGAGGCAUGAUUAGUUUUGAAAUGUAAAAAGACAUGAGAUUUGGGAGGGGCCAAGGACAGAAUAAUACGGUUUGGCUCUGUGUCCCCUUCCAAAUUUCACCUUUAAUUGUAAUCGCCAUAACCCCCACAUGUCAAUGGUGGAAACAGGUAGAGGUAAUUGGAUCGUGGAGGCAGUUUCUUCUAUGCUGUUAUUCAUGAUAGCGAAUGAGUUUUCAUGAGAUCUGAUGGUUUUAUAAGCAUCUGGCAUUUCUUCUGCUUGCACUUCUCAUUCCUGCCACCUUGUGAAGAAGGUGCUUUUCUUCCCAUUUGCGUUCAACCAUUAUUAUAAGUUUCCAGAGGCAAACCCAGCCACACAGAAGUGUGAGUCAAUUAAACCUCUUUUUUAAUAAAUUACCACUCUCAAACAGUUCUUUAUGGCAGUAUGAAGACAGACUAACACAGAAAGAUAUAGCUGUUUUGGAAACAUCAGAAGUACAGUUGUAGCAAUAAAUAAAAUAUGAAUAGAUUAACUUUCGUACACCUAUUUGUGUUGAAAGCACCAGGAGUCAUAGCCAACAAUCACUUUAAUAUUUCUCCAGCUAAUUCUUCUGAUUUAUUUUUAUGUUUGGUUAGCCAGUGACUUCCCCACUAGCUAAAAAAUAUUUUUAAAAGUAUGUAUGUGUUAAUAUAUCUUGACUACUUUUUAAUUUUCCAAUUAAAAAAUAAAUCACACUUUAAUCUCUGUGUCUUGAUUUUUCUCAUUUAAGAAGAGCUCAUUGACUUAGGGGCUACAUACUAUAUGACAAGUUACAUAAAUCACAAUUUUCUUAAAUAUUUCCCUAUUGAUGGUUACUCAGUUUUAUUUUUUUUAUUUUUGCCAUUAGUAACAGUGAAGAAAUUAAUGAUCUUGCAUUUAAAUUUUAAGUACAGGUGAUUGGCUUCUUUUUACAACAUUAAAGAGUUGUAAUUGACAUACAAUAAACUGUAAUUAUAUAGUAGG